rfam:Triticum urartu cultivar G1812 contig344788, whole genome shotgun sequence.
CUUAUACUCCCUCCGUCCCAAAAUUCUUGUCUUAGAUUAGUCUAGAUACGAAUGUAUCUAAUCCCAAAACAUGACUUGAUACAUCCGUAUUUAGACAAAUCUAAGACAAGAAUUUUGGGACGGAGGAAGUAGAUA